AGGUUGAAACUCAAAGGAAUUGACGGGGGCCCGCACAAGCGGUGGAGCAUGUGGUUUAAUUCGAAGCAACGCGAAGAACCUUACCAGGUCUUGACAUCCCAGUGACUGCCCUAGAGAUAGGGUUUCCCUUCGGGGCACUGGUGACAGGUGGUGCAUGGUUGUCGUCAGCUCGUGUCGUGAGAUGUUGGGUUAAGUCCCGCAACGAGCGCAACCCUUAUUGUUAGUUGCCAUCAUUGAGUUGGGCACUCUAGCGAGACUGCCGGUAAUAAACCGGAGGAAGGUGGGGAUGACGUCAAAUCAUCAUGCCCCUUAUGACCUGGGCUACACACGUGCUACAAUGGCUGGUACAACGAGUCGCAAGCCGGUGACGGCAAGCUAAUCUCUGAAAGCCAGUCUCAGUUCGGAUUGUAGGCUGCAACUCGCCUACAUGAAGUCGGAAUCGCUAGUAAUCGCGGAUCAGCACGCCGCGGUGAAUACGUUCCCGGGCCUUGUACACACCGCCCGUCACACCACGAGAGUUUGUAACACCCGAAAACACCCAAAGCCGGUGGGGUAACCUUUUGGAGCCAGCCGUCUAAGGUGGGACAGAUGAUUGGGGUGAAGUCGUAACAAGGUAGCCGUAGGAGAACCUGCGGCUGGAUCACCUCCUUU
rnacentral:rRNA from 1 species